rnacentral:rRNA from 1 species
UUAUUUUUUAAUAAUUAAUUUUUAUAUAAUUUUUAUAUAAUUAAUAUUUUAGUUAUUUAUAGGAAUAAAUAUUAUAAUAUAAUAAUAUUUUAAUAAUGAUAAAAUAAGUAUUUUAUAUAUAUAAAAUAUAGUAACUCGGCAAAUAUUAUUUUCGCCUGUUUAACAAAAACAUGGUCUUUUGUUUAUAUAAAAGAUCUAACCUGCCCUAUGAUUUAUUUAAAUGGCUGCAGUAUUUUGACUGUACAAAGGUAGCAUAAUCAUUUGUCUUUUAAUUGAAGGCUUGUAUGAAUGGUUGGAUGAAAAAUAUACUUUCUUUAUUUUAUAUAAAAAAUUUAAUUUUCUAGUCAAAAAGCUAGGAUUUUUUUAUAGGACGAGAAGACCCUAUAGAACUUUAUUUUCUUUUUUUAUAAACUUUAUAGAUAAAUAUAAGUUUAUAUAUUUUUGUUAAUUUUGUUGGGGUGAUUGAAAAAAUUUUUUAACUUUUUCUAUUUUUUACAUUUAUAUAUGUUUUUUUGAUCCUUUAUUAUGGAAUAAAAGAUUAAGUUACCUUAGGGAUAACAGCGUUAUUUUUUUGGAGAGUUCUUAUUGAUAAAAAAGUUUGCGACCUCGAUGUUGG